AGAUAGAUACAUCUCCCAGAGAUUACCACUCCUCUGGAACAGGCUUCUAAUUCAUAUGAAACAGAGCCCCUCCGUGACCUUCUUCAAGUGAAACCUAGAUCACUGGAUGGAUGACCACAGUUUCACUCCUGAGGUGGCACCCAUGUCCCUUUUGGAAGGUAUCCCAUCUCCUUCUUCAACUUCCUUUGGUCAGCAGUCAAUAGCUAUCAUUUACUGAGGAGUCGGAAUGUCUACAUAAUCACUUCAUCUGCUCAGCAUGAUACCUGUUAACUCAGCUUUCCCCUUCCUGAACAGAAAGCCAGGGUCAUUGUUAUUCAUCUGGCUUCACAACUGAUGCAUUUGUAGCUGUUUAGACAUCUGAAUGGUGCCUUAUUCGAAUAACUGAGCUAUCUCUUCUAAUCUUUGCAUACAGUGCUGUUGCCAUGGGCAGUGUUUGUUCACUUGAUGACUGGCCUGUUCCUUCAUGUUACUGGUAGCUCAUUUGUUUAAAAAUUAAUACUUUGUUCUUUGUUUUGGAAUAUGAAGAGCUCCAUCCUUUUCUUUUUAUGCUUUCUAUUGCCUGGGUGGUAUAUGUGCACUGAUAUUGAUGUUUAAUCACACUGGGUUUGUCAUCACAUUUGCUUGGUUGAAGUUUCUGUGCAGAAGGGCCUGUCAAACUUGAUCCCAGCUGCAGCAACUAAAUUCAUGGGAUAAUAAAAAUAUAGAAUAAUGCAAUUUA